AAAAGUUAAGUUUAAGUGAUAAAGUGAGUUGUGACGACAAAUUCAGGAAAAGAUGUCAUUUCUCUAAAUAUUUCAAUUGCUUGAGUUUUCUUGGUUUGCUUUUCAGUCGUGUAUGAUCACGAUGACAUCUUUAUAAUAACCAUGCAACGUCCUCUGAUCUAUACUUUUGAAUAAUUAUUGGUCAAGUUUUCCUUUUUUGAGUACUCCAUAUUGUUGGAUACUUUAAUUAUUUAUUUUGAACAAAAUAUUAUUCAAUGCCCAUAGAGUACUCCUCUCCUCUAUAUAUUGCACAAGUUUUUGGACUAAAGAACUAUACAAUAAUUUAGUAGAGAACAUAACAUGGGUGGUCAUGUACACACUGUACAAUUUGUUUGUGGGAUUUUAGGAAAUGCAGCCACUCUCUUUCUCUUCUUGGUACCCACGUUUACGUUCAAGAGAAUCAUCAAGAA